AACGAACGCUGGCGGCAUGCCUAACACAUGCCAGUCGAACGAGACCUUCGGGUCUAGUGGCGCACGGGUGCGUAACGCGUGGGAACCUGCCCUUAGGUUCGGAAUAACUCCCCGAAAGGGGUGCUAAUACCGGAUAAUGUCUUCGGACCAAAGAUUUAUCGCCUUUGGAUGGGCCUGCGUUGGAUUAGCUAGUUGGUAGGGUAAAAGCCUACCAAGGCGACGAUCCAUAGCUGGUCUGAGAGGAUGAUCAGCCACACUGGGACUGAGACACGGCCCAGACUCCUACGGGAGGCAGCAGUGGGGAAUAUUGGACAAUGGGCGAAAGCCUGAUCCAGCAAUGCCGCGUGAGUGAUGAAGGCCUUAGGGUUGUAAAGCUCUUUUACCCGGGAUGAUAAUGACAGUACCGGGAGAAUAAGCUCCGGCUAACUCCGUG
rnacentral:rRNA from 1 species